GACAGGAAUGCUUGUAUGGUGUGAUUUGAUUGGAAUGGUUCCCUAAGUUCUAGCAUUAUAUGAGUUCGUGAACUGACGGUGCUUUCUGGGAAAUAAGCUCAAAUACCAAAAUGAAUCUCGCUGCUGAUAUGUGACUGAAAAAAGUGAUACUUCUGUAAAGCGAAUUAUGAGCUGCUCGUAGAAUGAGUGCCUAGAUCCCUUUCUCGACCUCCCCGGAGCGAAGCGUCGGGAACAGAGAGAGGGACGCCCACCCGAGCAUUUUCCAACAAGACUCAAGAAGCUCGGUCUUUUGUUCGAUCUACAGAGGGCCCCCUGAAGCCUCCUCGCCACGCCCCUCUCACAGCAGCAUCGCCCCGAACGCCCUCCGCCGCGCCAGGGAGUGUCGCUGGCCUCCUUGAUAUGAUUUGCAUCCAUCGAGGUCGCGCUGGUUAGGGUCGCGUCAGGCCAAGGACAAGUCAGCCAUGCGAGCGUUGCUCAAGAGUUGCCCCAAAAUGGAUCACAUGAAGAGGCGGGAGGAUGUCUGACAGGUGACGUGAGCUGCGCAAGAAUCAAAUCAGCAGACAGCUGUCACUCCUGUCGCGUGUCCCUUGCAGCAGGGCGGCGCGACGCGACGUCCCAGCCCCGAAAUAAGAAACCCAAGAUCGACUUUCUCCUUAGGCGCUGGGAGGAGGCGGCUUUUGUUUGCCACGAAAUCGAUCUGCUUCGGGGCUUUUGUAUUUUGCGCGUUUGCUGUUGAUGGUUUUAGUUUUUUUUUUUCCAUUAGUCAUGCGACUUCUUAAUGUGGGGGGUAUCCCCUCUGCGUCUGAAUUUACCACUUAGUGUUGCUGAUGAAUAAACCACCAGUUUCGACUCUUUUUUCCGAAUCACUUGUUGAUAUGAGCAAGCGGCAUGUGAUUCGGAUACAGUAGUCGAAACUGGCGGUUCACUCAUUAGCAACGCGGGAAGUGGUGGGGUACAGUAAACUGACCAGUUACGAAGUAAUUUUCUGUAUCGGUGAGAGCCAAAGAUGGAUAUGAAUCAGUUUUCUUAGUUUUAAGGAUUAAAGCUCAGAACAGUGUUGUCUUUA